rnacentral:rRNA from 1 species
UACGUAGGGUGCAAGCGUUAAUCGGAAUUACUGGGCGUAAAGCGUGCGCAGGCGGCUUUGCAAGACAGAUGUGAAAUCCCCGGGCUUAACCUGGGAACUGCAUUUGUGACUGCAUGGCUGGAGUGCGGCAGAGGGGGAUGGAAUUCCGCGUGUAGCAGUGAAAUGCGUAGAGAUCCGGAGGAACACCAAAGGCGAAGGCAGUGUCCUGGGGAGUACCUGACGCUCAGGUGCGAAAGCCAGGGGAGCGAACGGG